rnacentral:snoRNA from 1 species
ACUGUUCAAUGAUGAUGUAAUGGAAUAUGCGCCAGGCAUGGCGCCUGACACCCAUGAGGAGUUAUUCCAUGCUGCCUUCCUUCUGAGAACAGC